GACGAACGCUGGCGGCGUGCUUGACACAUGCAAGUCGAACGGAAAGGCCCUGCUUGCAGGGUACUCGAGUGGCGAACGGGUGAGUAACACGUGGGUGAUCUGCCCUGCACUUCGGGAUAAGCCUGGGAAACUGGGUCUAAUACCGGAUAGGAGCCAUUUUUAGUGUGAUGGUUGGAAAGUUUUUUCGGUGUAGGAUGAGCUCGCGGCCUAUCAGCUUGUUGGUGGGGUAAUGGCCUACCAAGGCGGCGACGGGUAGCCGGCCUGAGAGGGUGGACGGCCACAUUGGGACUGAGAUACGGCCCAGACUCCUACGGGAGGCAGCAGUGGGGAAUAUUGCACAAUGGGCGCAAGCCUGAUGCAGCGACGCCGCGUGGGGGAUGACGGCCUUCGGGUUGUAAACUCCUUUCGCUAGGGACGAAGCUUUUUGUGACGGUACCUAGAUAAGAAGCACCGGCUAACUACGU
rnacentral:rRNA from 1 species